rnacentral:rRNA from 1 species
UAAUACGGAGGUUCCUAGCGUUGUUCGGAAUUACUGGGCGUAAAGGGAGCGCAGGCGGAUUGAUAAGUCUAAAGUGGAAUCCCGGGGCUCAACCUCGGACGUGCUUUGGAUACUGUCAGUCUUGAGUUCGUGAGAGGAAGGCGGAAUUCAGGGUGUAGCGGUGAAAUGCUUAGAUAUCCUGAGGAACACCAGUGGCGAAAGCGGCCUUCUGGCACGAAACUGACGCUGAGGCUCGAAAGCGUGGGUAGCGAACGGGAUUAGAUACCCCGGUAGUCCACGCCGUAAACGUUGUGCACUAGGUGCGGGGGGUAUCGACCCCUUCCGUGCCGCAGCUAACGCAUUAAGUGCACCGCCUGGGGAGUACGGUCGCAAGACUG